rnacentral:rRNA from 1 species
AUGGGCCAUUUGUGGGGACAUGCUACAUCUCAAAACUCAGACGUACAAACCUGGCUGGCCUCUCACACUGAACAUAACGCUGCUCUGAAGGAACAUCUGUCGGGAGCUCAAUACAAGUACAAACAGUUUGCAGAUCAAAAACGGUCUGACAGAGAGUUUGCGGUGGGCGAAAUGGUCUACUUAAGAUUACAACCAUAUGCUCAAUCUACUGUGGUAAAUUGCCCAUGUCACAAGCUAGCGCUCAAAUACUUUGGCCCUUACAAAGUUCUGGACAAAGUGGGAAAUGCAGCAUAUCGAUUGGAGUUACCAAGAGGGAGCCAAUGCCAGGUGUGGUGCCUGAGGAAAUUCUUGAUCGCUGCUGGUCAAGAAGAAGAACACAGCACAUUUACAGAUCCUGGUGAAAUGGGCGACGCUGCCUGCUGCAUCAGCAACCUGGGAGGAUUACGACAUCCUCAAGUUGAAGUUUCCACGUGCACCAGUUUGGGUACAAGCUGGUUCUUCAGGGGAGGGUACUGUAAGCAGUACAGAACAGGCGAUCGUGAGGACCAAGUAGUCGGGCGGGACAAAGCAGAGUUAAACAGCAGUGUGUUGGGCUUGGCAAGAGUUUUGAAAAUAGAGAAUACUCUGAAUCUAUCAUAUCUUAUCUCUUCCUGUCCACCGCUCGUCUCUAAGCUCUGUCCCUCUUCUUCUGCUAUCUCUCUCUCUCUGAUCAUCGUCGUCAACUCCGACCGCCGUAGGGCCGUGACAUGGAGCCGAUCCACGGGUGGAGGAAGGAAGCGAGUCCUGUCGCCGGCGGCUGGUAUGAGAAAACCAGACCCGGGGUCGGGGGUGAUCCAUGAGAAUACCAAGGAUUUCGAGCGAAAGCAUGGCGGCGGCGUGCACGCGGGCACGAGACCUAACGCUC